CUCAGAACCCGGGCAGGCGGAGGGGUGGCCGAGAGCACGGGAUUCUGAUUUAGGGACUCCGAAGAAGUGCGCUUAGGCUUGGCCAGGCCUGCCGUCACUUAAAGUCCUCCCGGACGAACGCUACUACACAAUUUGGUCAAGCCGAGGAGACUUUAGAGUUAGAAUGCGAGGAAUACUUUCUGUAAAGCCAGAAUUGCCGGUCACCGCAGCCAGCUUUGUGCAGAGAAGCCCCAGAGCCAUGAGAGGGUAAUGGCUAAACCAGGGAUGGGAAUAGUGAGCGCGACCCCAGGCACUUUGUGAGGAGAUGAGCUAUGGUGGGGGAAGCAUCCACUUUGAAGAACGGCCUUCGACCCCCCCCCAACAUCAUUUCCGGGGCGGGCUCGGCAGAGGGCCCGGAUGUGGCACUGCUUCGUACGUGAAUCGCCAGCGGUGUUCCUGGUAGUGUUUGCCUCCUGGCUUAUCCCUUUACUAGACUCUUUGGGUCCCUCGUUGGACUGGAAGGUCCGAGCUGCCCUUUCCUUUCUGUUGUCUGCGCCCUAUUCUACUCCCGCCUCCUGAGGCCACGACUCCGGGAAGCGCUGGCGGCGGGGUGUGAGCGAGCUGCCUCCGCCGCCAUCUUAGAGAAGGCGAGCCUGGGGCGCGUGUGGGCAGCGGGCGGCCUCCCACGGACCCGCAGCGGUUUGGCGCGGAGAGGUGGAGAGGUCGGAGCGCGUGCGGCCCUCACUCCGGAGCGAAGAGGCGAAGUCAUCACUCCCAACCCAGGGGGCUGGGAGUAAGUGCUAAUAAAGAACAAGAAUUUGCCCUUCCCGGAGUAUGAGAAAACCCCUGGCGAGCUCCCUCGACGAAAGGCGUGGAGGGGUGGGGUAACUUAACACCUGCCUGAACUACUGUCCCAUUAAUUUUUGGUUCCCCGUUAUUUUCACACACACCCCCCCCAAGCAAAGUGUUCAUCCCUUUUCAGAGUUGACCAAACUUGGAAUUGAGCUCAAUCUGUAUUAUAUUUCUUGCCUCGUCCUUAGCCCCUUUACUUGAUAGCCUAAGGUAGUAGAGGUUCAUGCCAUUCCAGGCUGCAUUCAAACAGACGAAUGGCUUCCUUCUAUGUUGAACGUUGUCAGUCCACAACCUGCUAUAUGGAACAUCCAUUGAUAAUGCAUGGUUCAAACAUAUUCGUCCGAUUCUUUACACACUGGAGUCCAGCAGGCACGUGUCCCCGGGCCCUGGCAAUACCCAAAAGCUCCAAUGUUUGCAGCUAAGCAGCUUAUCGAAGACAAUAAAUUAGAAGUAGAGCCUUAGGAAGUCAGUUCUCUUGGGGCUUAAUUUUUGCACCUGCAAAUAAGGGAUUUGGGCCGGCAUGAGUUCACCAGUGCUAAAAUAAUACCGAGCUCUUUUUUUUUUUUUUUUUUUGGUGUCCUAGACCUUGUGUUAAGAUUUUGCAUACAUUAUCUCAUUUAAUCCGGGCAACACUCUAUUAAGUAGAAAAGAUUCUCAUUGUAGGAAAAAUAAGCAGAGUUCUAGAAAUAGUUUUACCUCUCUGGGUCAUAAAAUACAAGGAUUUAGAAACCAACUAUUGGGACAAUAGAUUUAAGAAAGUAAUAUUGUUACCUUCCGUAAUUUCAUAAAAGUUGUAUUUUUAUGAGUUACCAUGUAAUAAUAACUCAUUGGUCAGCAUUGAGCUAAAAGUAAAAGAUUUCAUGACCCACUGUUACGUCAUUGACGUGACCAGUAGCAGUUCAGCUCUUCAAAUUUAGAAUACUCAUUUUAUUAUAUUUACAGAUAAAGUCCUCUAGUCCUACAGUGGUGUUAGGGCUGCUUGCUCACACUACAUGGCUCUGAAUAGCUUUGCUUUUUUAGUUCUAUUGUCUGUUUUCCUGUCUCCUCACUGUCAGCUGUUGCUUCUUCCUGGCUGUCAGUGAACAUAGUUCUAUUAUCCUUCCCACCCUUUUAAUUUACUGCUUUUAAUCUUCAGGCAAGAAAAUCACAUAAUGAAGCUUGUGCAAAACUGUCUCAAGAGUAUAAAUAGGUACUUUAAGGGACUGCCUUUUUAGCAAAAUUGUGACCCUUGUGCUAGGACAUUGUAAUGUCAGUUUUAAGCUGCUUAAAGACUCCCAGUGCCCCCGCCCCCAACUUGGUGGUUUAGGCUUUUUCUGAGUUAGGAAUAGAUAACUUCCUUUAAGAGAAUUCUUUUAGUUCGAAUUUAGGAUAUGCAGAAUAAUACCCAUUUUAAGAUCAUUAGUGGUGACUUCUAACCAUAGUGAGGUUAAUGUGAAAUUUUCAAUUUUACCACCACAUUGAAUAAAUUACCAAACUACCAAUUCAAGCUAUGGAAUUGAAAGCCACACAUUAUGUAUGUGUUACCGCUGUUGACUGGUGAGGAGUCCCUACUUCCCCAAUGUUGAAGAAUAACACCAGAAAAGCACGCCAAGGCAAGGUCAGAGUGGAAAAUUAGAAGUUUAUUAAAGAACAGCAGAAAAGACUUCUCCCAGAGGAAGAAGGGGACCCAAGAGGUGGAAUCUGUGGAAGGGCAGAUGUGUUCCCUUUUUUAUAGUUUUUGGUGAUGGAAUGUAGGUGGGAAGGUCUGAAGGUUUGGGACACAGGUGGGCCAAAGAAGUAAUCUGGGCACUUCCGAGUCAAGUUUGCUGUUCAUUAACAUUUCUUUGGGAUGGGCUAUCUUCAAAUCUGUUGGGGGGCUGUUUCCUGGGCUUCAUUAACAUUCCAAGAGUUGCUCAACCUUUCCAGAAAUUCAUUCUCAACAUGGCCUCCAUUUUAGAUUUCACUCGAUGUUAAACCCUAUUUACCAAAAAAAUAAUACUGACUACCUAACUUUAAAUCUGGCUUCAUAUGCAUUCAUUGUUUCAUAUUAUAAUUAGUUAUAAAAGGACCAAGAAAUCCUUUUGCCAGUAGUCAGUUCCAGUAAGAGAUUCUUUAGGGUUAUUUUUGAAAGCUGCAUAGUUAUUGUACAUGCACUUCAAAAAUACAUUAUUUGUUAAGUAUCCCUCAGUAUUAAACCAUUGUUAACAGUUAUUGCCUACUACGAUGUAAAACAUUGGGCUUAAGUAAAAAUAUACCUAACCAAAAGCAUUUUACACUCCUUGACAAAUUCAGUAAAUUGUCAGUGCAAUAAUUAUUUGCUGAGUAACUAAAAUGGAGCAGUUUGUAAAGUGUUCAAAGUUAAUAAAAAUCAGUUAAUAGAAAACUGAACUUGAAAUUAGUCUUUUGAAUUUAGACUGUGAUUGGAAUGACUGGCAGAGACAUAGAUGAACACAUUUUUAGCUGAAAAUCCACUUGAAAGAUGCGAAGCCCUGAUUCUUUGUGUAUGAAUCAUAUACUUUAUGAAUUACUAUAACAUAUUCUUAAAGAUAAAUUUCCUUUUCAUUAUUAUCUAGUAGGAUGUUUCCUCCUAUUGUUAAUCUACUAUAUAUUCAGGAAUCAGUAAGUUAUUUCAGUAUUAAUGCUUGAAACGGGAAAUGUAUAUAUGAAAAAAAAAAUACUGAUAUGCCUUAGCUGUGCUUCCAAAAUAUGUUUGAGGAUUCAGAAAAUUAAUGUAUUCUAUGGCAAUUUGUCAUUGAAUUUGUAGUCAAUCCUUUAAUAAAGCAGAGCUAACACCUGUUUUAAAAUU
rnacentral:lncRNA from 1 species